UCCGGGCAUUGACAGCCCUUCGCCUCCGCGACUGCAUCCCGGGAGUCUCGAGACCCUAAUAGUCCUCAUUCAUCUCCGAUUGGCUCACCAGAUUUCCAGGCGCCGGGCUGCCAAGUUCCGUCCGGUUCGCCCCCCAGCCCCGCCCCAGGGCGCUUUGCCAGUCCACCUUCCCAGCCACCGGAGUCCCCUCGGCCAGCUUCCCCGUUUCCCACUUAGCCCCUCGGAGGGCUGGUGCGGGCGGGCUGGACCACGAUACAGGACAGGACUCUUAUCCCCCAGGUUGCCGGCUGCCGGGCCUGCGUGUAGGGUCCUGGGCUGCAAGAUUCGGACCCGGGAAACUGAGGUCCAGAGAAAGAUGCGGACCCGGGCCUCUCGCCUCUGGUGUCUGGUUUCCAAGACUCGGCGGGCGGCCACUGAGUGACACCGGGCCAGCCUGCCUCCAGCGCGCUGCCACAGAGCUCAGUUUAUUCGUGUCUAGAGCGCAUCUUGUGGACCGGGCGCAGGCCUCCAUUCUCCAGCAGGACAGUGGCAUCGUGUCCUUCGUCUGGGGAGUUGUCUCGGCUGGCACAGUGUCCUCAGACUCCAGGAUGAGUGACAGAUCCAGGGGCUCUGGCUCUCAUAAACCCUGCCCACUCUCCCUCCACACACACACAACCUAGCCAGCUGCAGAAGGCUGAAAUCCCACCGCUAGUGCUUGUCCC